AUGAUGAUCAGUCACAUGGAGCCACCCACACCCUCUCCUAAGAUUAAGAGAGCAACUACAUCUGGACCUGGUGAGAAUGAGGAGAGAGAGGAACCUGGCAGAGGAGGGUGCCAUGAUAUCUCACUUCCGACAACACACUCAUCAGUUUCUAGUGACAGAGUUAGAAUUCAAGAGCAAAUGAUUUCCAUUUCAAAGGUUCCCCAUUGCCUACAGAAGGGAAGCAGGCAGGCUCGUGCCUCUCUGUACUGGGGAGAUUUCUUUUGGUGCAACUGAAUUGCCUACGUCCAGAACACACUCUAACCAGCUAGUUAUAAAAUCUUAACUGGACUUUACCAGGAGACUUAUUGCGGCGAGGACAGGAAAGCGACGGGGGUUUUAAAGAGCCAGAUUUUGUUUCAGAGGAGCAGGUAAGAGCAAUUGUUCACUCCUCAACUACGCUCCAUGUAGUUGCUUCCCAUUCGGUGGCAGCGGGGAAGUGGAAAAAAAGAGAUCCGACUUCAGAGAUGCCACCUCAAUCGGCCACCCGCCCACCCAAAUGCACUAAGGGCAGAGAGGGAAGCUUGUGAUCUGAAUGCAAAGCAAUCAGGAGUAGGGAUCUUCUCAGAAAAAGCCCGCUCCAGUUCCACUCACCACCCACCCCAAAAAAACUUCCAGCCGACCCACAACACCAUAAACCCACUGGGCUUUUUAAACAGCACGAUCAUACACAGACACACACACACACCCCCAACAAAAAAAGCACGCUCUCACCUUCAGAAUGAUGAGGCAAUAUUGCAAAUUCCGCCAAUGCUAGGGCCACUCCAAGCCACACUUUGAAGACACCCAUUGCCGCCUCGGCACCCACGCUGAAGGAGCCCAGCCUUCAGCAUCCAAGAACCAGCUCUCGGCCAAAACGCUGGCUUCGGAGCCCCUGGCCGGGGCGCACGGAGAGCGGGGGGCGGCGGGCAGUUACCUCCGGGGAAACGAGGCGAUGGACCGGCCGAGAGCGACGCUCACACCAGCCCCGAGGCGCCG
rnacentral:lncRNA from 1 species